GUAUGUGUAGGUGAUCUGGCUACGACAUCUCUCACCCCAUAGAUCGCCAGGGUUGAUUCGGCUGAUCUGGCUGGCUAGGAGCAUGUCCCCUUACCACUCCAUGUGUGUUGCUCCCAAAGCUGCAGGCUUGGUUGAAGCGGACAAUGUCCCAGGUAAAAAAGGAGUGUAUCGAGGUCUCCAGUCUUCGGUCCAGGGUAUACGAUAACUGUGUUCCCCUUCUAGAACCUUCAAACAAGCUAGCCUUAUGGACACCUAUGCCAGAAAAUUUUUCAGCAAUAUCGGUGAAGAGAAUAUGACCAUCACAGGUGGACUAAACAUUCAAACUGUGGUAGUGAUGUCCCUUUUGUU
rfam:Anolis carolinensis chromosome 5, whole genome shotgun sequence.